GACGAACGCUGGCGGCGUGCUUAACACAUGCAAGUCGAACGAAGAGCGAUGGAAGCUUGCUUCUAUCAAUCUUAGUGGCGAACGGGUGAGUAACGCGUAAUCAACCUGCCCUUCAGAGGGGGACAACAGUUGGAAACGACUGCUAAUACCGCAUACGAUCUAAUCUCGGCAUCGAGGAUAGAUGAAAGGUGGCCUCUACAUGUAAGCUAUCACUGAAGGAGGGGAUUGCGUCUGAUUAGCUAGUUGGAGGGGUAACGGCCCACCAAGGCGAUGAUCAGUAGCCGGUCUGAGAGGAUGAACGGCCACAUUGGGACUGAGACACGGCCCAGACUCCUACGGGAGGCAGCAGUGGGGAAUCUUCCGUAAUGGACGAAAGUCUGACGGAGCAACGCCGCGUGAGUGAUGACGGCCUUCGGGUUGUAAAGCUCUGUUAAUCGGGACGAAAGGCCUUCUUGCGAAUAGUGAGAAGGAUUGACGGUACCGGAAUAGAAAGCCACGGCUAACUACGUG
rnacentral:rRNA from 1 species